GACCUUUAGGAUUUGUUUGGAAGCAAGAGUAACAGAGAGGAUUGAGGGAGCUAGAAUCCCUCACUAUUCAAUAACAGGCCCUUAAAUUGGUAUCACUUGGAUUUCUUAAGACAGCAUCACGCCUACCCUGAUGUAUACAUGAUAACAAAUUAAUUUAGUCUAGGAACUAGAGUACAAGGUUACAGAGGCUAUCUGGCAAUGCCCUCUCCUACAGACAACGCAUAUUUUGCUUCAGGUCAAAACCCGCCGCUAGCAUUUGUCGGCUAACAUAUGGUACUAUUGCUGCUAAAGUGCUAAUUACAGAUACAGUGAGUUGGAGAACAUGAUACCCCGACGCAAACUCUCACUUGCAUUCUUGAACUUCUUCUCAAGGUUAACCUCCCCCACGGCUUCAGCAGCAGCUCUCAACUGAUAACAAGUUCAGAGUUAGAAGGUUCAAACA
rnacentral:lncRNA from 1 species